UACGUAGGGUGCAAGCGUUGUCCGGAAUUAUUGGGCGUAAAGAGCUCGUAGGUGGCGUGUCGCGUCUGCCGUGAAAGCCCAUGGCUUAACUGUGGGUCUGCGGUGGAUACGGGCAGGCUGGAGGCUGGUAGGGGCAAGCGGAAUUCCUGGUGUAGCGGUGAAAUGCGCAGAUAUCAGGAGGAACACCGGUGGCGAAGGCGGCUUGCUGGGCCAGUUCUGACGCUGGAGGAGCGAAAGCGUGGGGAGCGAACAGG
rnacentral:rRNA from 1 species